CCUACAGCAGACACCCGGCUGUUAUCAGCACAAGCCACCGCUGCAUCUUAUCACUGCCCCGGCUGUCCGCUGGUGACAUCGAUGGUGAUUGCCAACCGUCGACGUCAACCACCGACAACGGACGGCCGGUUGGAUGCAGCUUCUAGAUCCUAAUCACCUACAGGUUGUGAUAUGAGAGCUCAUAACAAACAGCUGAUCAUUUAGUCCAUGUCAACGAAUUUUGAUGCAAGUCUAUCGCAGACGGUAAACACUGCCCAACUCGAACGCAAUGUACCAACAGUGUUCCACGUAAUUCACAACAAUUACUUGCAAAUGUAAUUGAACUCUUUCACACUAAUUGAAGCAGAUAGCUCUCAAUGUUAUAUGCUCUGAGUACCUGCCUGGACCCGACCACCACCAGGGAAUUGGAUUGAACUGGGACGGCGAUAUUUAUCUCAUCGUUUGCACCCACUGUACGUGUAAAAAUUAACCAUCAGAUGGGUAGUUAAUCGGUGUAACGUUUUUGCAAUGAAGAGUUAGUGAAGAGGUAAAAAACUAAAUGAUCAUCUAAAGAAUAACUUUCUAUCGAAAAGCAAAUACCAGAGUGGCUGACGGAAACAUGAAGGAGUUCUAAAGCUACAUAGAAAAAUUGAAUAGUAGAACACGGUGCAAAAUAGAAUCGAUAGAAAGUUACAAGUGCUCACAAGAAUAAUAACAAUACAAAAAUCUAACAGCAUGAAUAAUCAACUUGUAUGUACAGCAAGUACUAGUGUUUCUAACAAAAUAUUGUAGGUAAAUAUACACAAAGGGAAGGACUGAUCUACAACUAUGUAUACUGCUAAGACAGCAUCAGUGUUUGACGAAUUAGUUGUGUAAAAUGUAAUCAUUCUGAUCGAUCAAAAACGAGUUGACCCAACUUAAAAAUAUCUGUUCGUAAAAAUAAUAAAAAAUCGAUAAAAAAUCAACAAACAUACAUACAAAUUUGAAUCUAAUAAAAAUACAUGCAACAUAAAAACAGAAGCUAGAACUUGAAAAAAAUUUGGAGGAACAGCAUCAUUCACCCUUAAAAAUUAGUCGUCACUUAAAAUAAGAACGCAAUAAAAUAACCGUAAAAACGUCCUACAGACAUACAAUUUAUAUCUCUGUAGGUGCAGCUUUAUGGUUCAAGAAUGAUGUAAUAUUUUGCAUGUAGGGAGCAAAAAAUAAAUAAAAAAUACAAUACCUCAAGUCUAUCGGAACGAGGCAUUUUUUGUUGUGCUACAACUGUUUGUGGAACUACACCCAAAGGCGACCCGACUCCGGUAGGAUCCGGCCCCAUAAUCGUAGGCAUUAUAGGACCCGGAGCAAAAUAUGGACUAUAUGUACUGCCAACCUGUGGCAUUCCAGUCAGGUAGGGGUUUGUGGCCUAAAAUGAAAAUUCACAGUCUACACGCACUUACUUCUCUCGAGCAAGCAGCAAAAGCUAAGCAAAUAAUACAAAAUAUGCAAUCAUUCUGGGAAUGGGCUCAUACACCAUUUUUGGAAAAAGAUACACAACUCAGAUAUUAGACACUUCGAAAUUGGAAAAAGUAAUGCAAAAUCAUGCAGCGAUGGCACUAUAAUAAGUCGUUUAUUCAAAUAUAAUUUCACGCCCUUUGGUCACACGAUAGUACGUAUGGUCCUUUGAAUUUUACUUGGGGCCCAUUUUAAAAUAGCACAAUAACUAAAUGAGUGGCAACACUGUUCGUAAAAGAUCCGAAUUAAUAGAGAUCACGAACAUUUAAAAUCGUCAAAAUGUGUUUGGUAAAAUUAUUAACAAGGACAUAAUCCAGAAGAUUAGAACAAGCUUAUAAAACCGAGCUUCGGAAGCCUUUUAAUUGCCUGGUGUAGUUUCGAAAAUGAUUUACGAGCCCAUUGCACUGUUUUGGUUCCAAGAAGGUAUACCAAAUUAAUGAUAUAUUUUGCUAAAGACGGCUGUUCGCAAAGCAUCUAUUUAAAAUUCAGGAUGUUUGGAAGAUUACCAUCAAUGCGUACUGUUCGUCUAUUGACAUAGAGAAAUUUGGGAAGAAGGUCAAAGGAAGGCUGUCUAUUGUUGAGUCCACCUCCAACAAAGUCCCAAUUAGUACAACACUAACAACCCCACCUUUUUAUCUCCAACCGUUCUCAAAUCUCAGGAGAAUGGUUGGCAUUGGGAUUUGGGAACAGUCAGGGAUGAGAAAUGUAGGAUUGGCAGAUAAACCCACACACAACAAAAAUAACAAAAAUUAGCGUGCAAUACCCAAAUAACAUCUCAAAAUUUCUACUACUUUUUGAUUACUUACCACUGCCUGAACUUGACCAGGAACCAAAGGCUGUCCGGGCGUUAGACCCAUUUGUUGCAUAAGUGCAUUUUUUAACGCCAAGUGAUUCCUACCAUUUAUAAGAAGUUGGUCCUUGAGGUGUUGUGGAGGGUGGAAGUACUUGCAUGGGGGUUUUUCUCUGUUGCAGCGACC